rnacentral:lncRNA from 1 species
AGAAUUUGAAAAAUAUUCUUCUGUUUAAUAAUAUGCUUAGUGGUACAUUACCAGUAGAAUUUGGAAACUGCACUUCUCUUGUUGAGAUAAGUCUUGUCAGUAACUUCAUCAGCGGGGAAAUCCCUUCAGAACUUUGCAACCUCCAAAACCUAGCAAAAUUAAAUGCAUUCGAAAAUAAAAUUCACGGUCAAAUUCCAGAAUGCCUUGGAAAAAUAAGCGAACUGCAGGAACUAGCUCUUUAUGAUAACCAAUUGACCGGCGAGAUACCACCUGGAAUUACAAAUAUGACGAAACUUGCGUAUCUUUCUUUGGCUCAUAAUAACCUUACAGGGGAGGUGCCACCUGAUCUCGGAAAAAAUAAUUUUCCUGGCUUAAUUAAGGUUGAUUUGGGUUAUAAUAACUUCAUUGGACAGAUUCCUUCUGAACUGUGUCAAGGGAACAGGCUUGCAGUCCUGACUCUUGAAAACAACCGUUUCAGUGGAAGUUUCCCAACCAAUAUAGCAAAAUGCAAAUCUGUAUAUAGGGUGAGCCUUUUCAACAACCAUUUGCAGGGGAAUAUUCCUGAUGACAUUGAAAAGAAUGAGAACAUUUCUUACUUGAAUGUUCGAGGAAAUAUGCUCGCAGGAAGGAUUCCAGCAUCAUUUGGUUAUUGGACCAACCUUUCAGCAAUUGACUUUUCAGACAAUAUGUUUUCUGGCUCCAUACCUGCGGAAUUUGGGAAGCUGCAAAAUCUUGUAAGAAUGAUAAUUUCUUCAAACAGACUGACAGGACAAAUUCCUCUUCAGUUGAGUUACUCUGCAGAGCUGGAAGAGUUGGAUCUCAGUAACAACAAUCUUUCAGGAAGAAUUCCAAAAGAAAUUGCAUCAUCUUCAGCAUUGACAAAACUUCUACUCCAGGACAACAAACUUUCUGGUGCUCUUCCAGACAUUUUCUCCUCCUCACAAAAGCUUGUAAAACUGCAGCUCGGGGACAACUUGCUUGAAGGGCCAAUUCCAUGCACUCUGAGUAAACUUAGGGAACCUACUUUUGCACUGAAUCUGAGCAUGAAUAAAUUUAGUGGUAAAAUUCCUAGGUGUCUGAGCAAUCUAGACAAUUUAGAAAUCCUUGAUUUAUCAAGCAACGACUUGUUUGGUGCAAUACCAUCAGAAAUGCAAAAGAUGAGGUCCCUUACGUUUCUCAACAUAUCAUUUAAUAACUUGUCAGGGCAGAUACCUGAUAGAUGGGAAAAGCUGUUAAGCUCACAUCCAGGAUUUGCCCUGGGAAAUCCAGGACUUUGCUUAUCAGACACUGAAGGUAGUAACUGCAAGCAAGUGAAAAAAUCACAAGAAAAAUGGAAGACCAUGGCUGGGGUAAUUAGUGGAUGUGUUCUUUCCAUGGCAAUCAUAGUUGCUGCAAUGUACUUACUAGUUACUCGCAUUUGGCACCCAAUCCUUCUGAAUAAGCAUCGGCUUGUCAAGUGUCAGUCAGGAAUUGAAGAUCUACCGGAUGGUAUAACUUUUGAGGACAUUGUACAUGCAACAGAAGGCUGGAGCAAAAAAUAUGUAAUUGGAAGAGGCAAGCAUGGAACUGUUUAUAAGAUGGAAUCUGCGAAAUCCAAAAAGCUUUGGGCUGUCAAGAAGGUUGACUUAGCUCACAGAGCAUUCAACGAAGAAAUGAGAACCCUAAAUUCUGUCAGACACCGCAAUUUGGUAAGAUUGGGAGGAUACUGCACGAGACAUGGAUAUGGCUACAUUCUAACAGAAUUUAUCCCCGGAGGGACUCUUCAUGAUGUCCUUCACCAGAGAAAACCACCUGUAGUCCUGAACUGGGAGUCCCGCCAUCGUAUUGCUCUUGGUGUUGCUCAAGGCCUGUCUUACCUUCAUUAUGAUACUGUCCCUCAAAUCAUUCACAGAGAUCUCAAAUCAGAUAAUGUAAUGCUGGAUUCUGAGAUGGUGCCAAAGAUUGGUGAUUUUGGGAUAGCUAAAAUAGUAUCAGAUGAAGAAAACUCAACGAACUCCAAAAUUGUUGGGACCCUAGGAUACAUUGCUCCAGGUUAGACACACGCUACUAUACUAAUUUUCAGUAUAUUUCAGUUGGCAGAUUACUUUGAUGAACUACUAACUUUUACUACAUUCUUCUUUGGCCCCCUUCCUCUUCUUGUCCCUCCAUCUAUUCAGAGCAUGCAUACUCAGUUCAGUUGACAGAGAAAAGUGAUGUUUAUAGCUAUGGAGUGCUUCUAUUGGAGCUCUUCUGCAGAAAAAUGCCAGUAGACACCAGCUUUGAAGAAGGAUUAGAUAUUAUUUUCUGGGUGAGGAAGCACUUGCAGAGAAGCAACAAUUUCUUUUGUUUUCUUGAUGAAGAAAUUAGUCUCUGGGAUGUAGAAGAACAAUGGAAGGCCCUGAAAAUAGUGGAUUUGGCCCUUCAAUGUGCUCAACUCGAGCCAAGCACCAGGCCUGCAAUGAGGGAUGUAGUAAGGUCUCUUGUCGAAUUAAAUAAAAGAUGUAAAGAGAAUAAAUGAAACUUUUAGCAGUGAAACCCAUGAUCAACUUUACCAAAUUCAAACAUCUUUUUUUUUUUUUUUUUGCUUACAUAAAAAAUUGGACUAAGAAAAUCAUGAUGUUUUAGCUUAACAUAAUCGAGAAAAUCAACUCUUAGUCCGUUUUUAUUUGCCGUGGUGAUGGAUGUGUUGACGUGGAGUAUACAAGGCGAGGUGCCUUGGUGUAUGCUUUUUGCGGAUAAUGUAGUUUUGAUUAAUGAGUCGCGGCAAGGUGUUAAUGAUAAGCUGGAGGUUUGGAGACAAACUUUAGAGUCUAAAGGUUUCAGAUUGAGCAGGACCAAUACGGAGUAUUUGGAGUGCAAGUUUAGUGACUCGAGGCAAGAGGAUGAGGUAGUAGUGAAGUUGGACUCAGGAUAGUUUUAAGUAUCUUGGGUCUACGAUUCAGGGGAACGGAGAGAUAGAUGAGGAUGUCUCUCACCGUAUUGGGGCAGGUUGGAUGAAAUGGAGGCUCGCUUCGGGAAUUUUAUGCGAUAAGAAGGUGCCUCCCAAGCUUAAAGGCAAAUUCUAUAGAGUUGCAGUCCGGCUGGCUAUGUUGUAUGGAGCGGAGUGUUGGCCGGUUAAGAAUUCUCAUAUACAAAAGUUGAAGGUGGCGGAAAUGAGGAUGUUGCGUUGGAUGUGUGGAUUUACAAGGGCUGACGGGGUUAGGAAUGAGAUUAUUCGGGGGGAGGUGGGAGUGGUGUCGGUGGAGGAUAAAAUGCGGGAAGUGAGGUUGAGAUGGUUUGGUCAUGUGAUGAGGAGAGGCACGGAUGCUCCAGUUCAUAGGUGUGAGAGGUUGGCCUUGGAUGGUUUCAAACGGGAUUGGGAUAGACCGAGGAAAUACAGGAGAGAAGUGAUUAGACGUGACAUGGAGCAGUUACAGCUCACUGAGGAGUUACAGCUCACCGAGGACAUGACCCUGAAUAGGAAAGUUUGGAGGAAAAAUACUAGGAUAGAGGGAUAAGGUGGGUGGAUGUAUCGUAGUCAGUAGUUAGGAGGACUUUGGUGUCCUUUGUUUGGCAAUGUGCAAUAUUUUUGUGGAUGUUGUACCUAUGUUAGUUUUAUCAUGUUUCAUGCUUUUGAUGUUUUUGUAUAUUGUCGUUUGUCUUGAGCCGGGGGUCUAUCGAAAACAGCCUCUCUACUUCUUUAGAGGUAGUGGUAUGGACUGCGUACAUUCUACCCUCCCCAGACCCCACUAGGCGGGAAUAUACCGGGUUUGUUGUUGUUGUUGUAGCGUAACAACAUAGACUAAGAAAAGCAUGAUCUUUCAAAUCAAUUUUCAGUAAAAGCGAUUUUCACCUUCUCGUCAUAGCUCUUUUCGUCAUGCAUCACUGUCCGUAAUCAGUUUUUGCUUGUUACGUUCUCUAGCUUAUCCAAAAUAUUGUUGCUUUUUAACAAUGAAAUUACAGAAAUACUGAGAGUGAAACACUGAAAUGCAGCCAAAGGGAAUUGUUUUAUUUAGCCUGGUUGAGCUGUGCAUUUAUAUUGAACUUGCAAUUAGGGAUAGUUAGCUAGCAAACUAGUAAUUAGGAUUUAUUAAAAAAAAAACUAAGAUAAGCAAAAAGAAAAAGAUAAGCUUUUGUUGAAUUUGGUUUUAUUAAUGAUGUUCCUGUAAAAGAAUGCAAGAAUAGAAGACCUCCACCUUACUGGUCUUUCUUUGUGUUCCAUACUUCCAGUGACUGAGUUACUUCCAGAAAAUAAAAUAAAAAGAUAAGCUUUUGUUGAAUUUGGUCGUACUAAUGAUGGUUCCUGCAAAAGAAUGCAAGAUCAAAAGACCUCCACCUUAUCGAUCUUUCUUUGUGUUCCAAACUUCCAGUGACUGAACUACUUCAGAAAAUAAAAUAAAGAUGAAUGGAAAUGGCUUGUGGAUAAUCAUUGUAUUGCAUCCAAAUACAGAUAUUCAAAUAAGGUAGAUAUACCCCAGUAUGGGUUAGCAACAGGACUUCUAAAAAGACACAUAGGAAUACCAGAUCACGAGAGUACAGUAAUAGUCCUUGGAGAAUUAAUGAGAAUCCAGUAGAAAGGAAAUACCUACAAUGAUCAUAGUAUUACUCUAGAAGUUUUUGUUAUUCCAUUUCUGUUACUAUUUAAUGUUUCUUGGAAUUCGAUUAUCAUAUUACUUUGUUGUAGUGACUGUUCUUUUUAUGCUUUAUCAUGCGUUCUUUCACAUUUUGUCUUGGCUUCUCCACUCCCGUCAUUUUCGUUUUUCGAACUUCUUUGUAGUGCUUUUACUUGAGCCGAGGUUCUAUCAGAAACAAUCUCUUUACCUCCCAAGUUAAGGUCUGCCUGCGUACACACUACCCUCCCAGACUUGCUUGUAGGAUAACACUAGGUAUGUUAUUGUUGUUGCACUAGUAGUAGAAAGGAAAUAUGCAAGAAGUGCAAGCAUAAACUGGCAGGGCUAUUCUGCAAGUGAGUAACAGAUGAAAGACACACCUCAGUUACGAGAACUGCAACAACAGAGCACAGUACAAUGUGUACCUAAACAAUCAUCAGAGUAGGAGAAGCCCAACUUAAACGUUCCAGAUUCCUCAUCAUAUUUUUCAUCUAGUUGACUUGGAUGUGUAUUACAAGCCAAUCCUCACAAGAUUUUGAGAACUUUCAUGUUAAGUAUUCACCAGAAUUUGCAUCGGACAUGGAAACACCACAUAUACUGACAAAUCUCAGAAUUAUAGUAAUAGAGCUUCCCAUCCGAGUCUGAUCCAAGCUUCUGGUCUUAGCAAGUGUAGCAACCUCACAUAUGCAGACAAGUCUUGGAUUUCUAGACUCUAGUAAUAGAGUUCCGUUCAAAGUCAGAUCCACUAAAUUCUCAAGCUUCUGCUCUUAGCAAGUGCACUUUUGAGCUAAAAGAUUUGAGACAAACCCCGGGAAGAUAUAUGAAUCAGUUUCGCCUAGACAUUCAACAAACAUAAUAUCGACAUAGAGAUAAAAGCCUCCACACUCCAUCGACAUCUAAUUUCGAAAUUCUUAGAUAAAAUUAGGUCGCCAGAUUAGUUUGAGUGUGAAGUUGGCUUUUCAGGACAACUUGAGAGUGCAUUUGAUGUCUUUUCUCAAACUAAUAUUGCCCUCAAAGGGUACAAAAACAGAGUAAACAAAAAUAAAGUAAAUUAUGAACGGUUAUCAUACCUGUUAAUUGAUGGAGUCAUCCGAAUCAAAAUCAACUCGAAUACAAUCCAUAGCAAAUAGCAAUUAUUAAUCAUGAAAUUUAGAUAUAAACGGAUUCAAUUAAAACAUUUAAUGAUAAUCACAAGGACCAAUAUUAAGUUCUAAAAGUGUUCUGAAUUGUAAGAAAUAUAUAAAUCAACGGAGAAAAAAAAAAAGAAAUAUACAAAUCUGUUGCUACAAUGCAAGUAAAUGGUGCAGGAGAAUAAAUCUUAGUUCACAAGAGUUAUCCAACACACCUUACUCGAUUAACCUGAAAAUGAUUGUAAUGCAUUUAACAAAUUUUAUUGGAUUGAAGAAUUUUACUAAUCUAAUUGGCUAAUUACUUGAAUGUUCAUCUCCUUGGUGAGUGCUCAGUUCUCCACUUCGAAAUUUUCUUCCCAUUUUCCUUAUUGCAAUGAAAUAUGAAUUUGCAAAUUAUUAGCAGCAACUUACUUUAGUACAUUUAAUGUGAAUACGAGGGUGUAUUUGAAAAAGUCUUUCCAUCUCACGAUUAGGGUUUAUUUGAAAAAGUCUCAAUAUCUCAUAAAAAUAGAAAUAAAAUUUAUAUACACCUAAACCUUACGUGUGGAACUAUACCGAAUUUAUUAUUGUUACUUACUUUCGUUUACAAUAAAAAGAUAAAGUUCUACAAUAAUUGAAUUGUUGAAAAUCUUUGAAAAAAAAAACAUAUAAAUUAGUCAUGUUUUUUUAUUUUUACCCUUUUCAAACUCCAAAACAUUAGUAAUGAUAUUGAAACUCGUCCUUGAAAAUUUAAUUAAUGAGGGUAAAAUUUCAAAAAAAAAUCCAGCAUUAUAUAUGAACAAUCCAAUUAUUUUGAACACUAAAAAAUACUCCAACAAUUCAAUUAUUUUGGAACGGAGAGAAUAAUUUGUUUCAAAAUGUUCAUUCAAAUUAUUAAUAAAAAGUAAAAAAAAGAAAAACUAAGUAUUUAUACAAUCAAAUCACUUGAAGCCAAUUAAAAAUAAGUGUCUUAACUAAAACUGUGAAAUAAUUAUAUCGGAAUGAAGUGUACUUUUAUUAGAACAAGUCAAAUUAUAUAGAUUCUAUAAAAAAAAGUUAUUGACUGAAUUUGCAAUCGUUAUUUUUUGGAUGUGUACAAUGCAAACCUCACUAUAAUGCAAUAGCUCGUAAACCAUAUAGAAGAGGUAAAUUACACUAGGCAAGCCAUGUACGAUGAAUGCGAUCAAAAAAUCAUGCAACCGUUUUAAAUAUGAGAAUCCUUAUUUGGAGAUUACUUGUUGAAUCAAUUCUGUUACCUUAUGGCUGCAGCAUAACUAUAUAAGAGUUAGGGAAAAGGUAGUGUUUCCACCCCAAACUAUACAAGAAAAGUCUAAGUCAUACCUAGACUAUCUAAGUGAUUUAUUACACACUUAAACUAUAUAAAAGUGAUAUUAUUAUCUCCCUGCGACACUAAUUCUAUGGCGUGUUUCUUACACUCGUUUUAGGCGCGUCCGACCUUUUAAAUAACAAAAGUAAACGUUUAAAAACAUUAAAAUUACAUCACUUUUAAUUCCUAAAGGAUGUAUUCUUAUUUAAGCCAAUUUGGGGCUCAAAACUAAGAACCCUAAUUCCCAAAUUUGUCUUUCAAAAUCGAAAUUGAAGAUCAUUUGUAUGAAUAAUUGGUAACUAAAUCUUUUUAAUCUUCGAUUUCUUGUUAUAUUGAUGAUUAUUUUGUCUUAAUUUUGUUGUCAUUUUGAUAAUUUUUUUCUUCCCUCAAGUGUUUGUUCAACCUCUCUUGAAACUUGUUUGCUUAAUCAAGGUACUUUAAUGGCUAAGAUAAGUUUGAAUAGACUUUGUAAGCAAGAAGAAGAUAAUGAGUUGGACGAGGUUCGAUGCAAACAUGGACAUCUUUUGUCUUUGAUGACUUCAUUGACUUCAUGAAAUUCGGGUAGACUAUAUUGGACUUGUCCUUGCUAUGGGGUAAAUGAGUUUUUUCUUCAGACACUGAUCUUGAAUAGUGUAUAUGAAUCUAAUUGCUUUAAUUUUAGAAAACUAGAUCAUGCGAUUUUUGGCUUUGGAAGGAUGAUUCUAUUGAUGAACGGUCCAAAUUUGUUAUUCCUAAAUUGUUGGGAAGAAUAGGGGAGCUUGAGGAAAAAGUUGAAUCUUCGAUAAAUUAUGCAUUUUAUGAACACAAAAUAGUUGAUGACAAGACUACUAGGACAACCAAAUGUGUGGAGAGCAAAAUAAACAUGAACAAAAUAGAGUUGCAAAUGAACAAUUUUCAGGAUGAUUUGAAGAUGAUGAAGGCCAAUGAGAAGAAACGAAAGAUCAAGUUGGCUAAGUCCAAGAAAAGGGAAAAACAACUUUGGAAUACUAUCAUUUGUGUGUAUUUUGGGUGUUAGUUUUUUAUUUCAAUUCAUGUUCUUGAAAGGAGCUCUAAGAAGGUUGCCCUAAACUAGGUUACUUUGUUUUUGUUAUGUUUUAAGGGCCUGAAAUUUGUAUCAAUUAUUAGGUGUUACCUUAGACAAAAUUGCCAGGUUAUGUUAUUAAAUUAUUGUGUAAUGAAAUUGUAAGGUUGAACUUGACAGUUUUGGCUUUAUUUUCUGUGGUUCUUUGUGUUGCAAUUUGCAUACAACAUUACCGAUUUAGGAAAACAUCUCUAACAACACAAAUUUAAGGUUGUAUACAAAUUGUAAUAUUGUAUACACAAACAUUACAUCUCUCACAACACAAAUUUAACAUUAAUAAAUGCAGUCAUAGCUGUUGCACAAGCAUAAACACAAAUUGUAAUGUUAAUUACACAACCUGGAACCAGUAAACUACUUCUCUCACAACACAAAUUAAACAUUAAUAAAUGCAGUCAUAGCUGCUGCACAGGCACAAGCACAAAUUUUAGCAACAAUAAACUUACAACUGCAUAAUCAUUAACGAAAAAUGAGUGCAAUUACAUCUUGUUACCAAAUACAUUUACAAAAAAAUUACAGUUACAAAAUGUAGUCAAAGCUGCCACCAAUAAAUUAUUCUUAAAUCAGCCACAGCUGCCAACAUCAGUGAACUACCAAAAAACAGUCUUAAAUGCAGUCACAGUUGCCAACCCAGCUACCAACAUUAGUGAAUUAUCAAAAACAUAGUCUAAAUAUAGUCACAACUUUCAACAUUUAUACAAGGGAAACUAUCAGUCUACACCAACUUCUUAUAGAGAUUGAACAUUGGAACUUUCUUGACUUAAGUGUGCAGCCUUGGACCUUGUUUUCAUUUAUUUUUUGCCUCUCAUUUCUUGUAGUUGCUUGGAGGUUAUAAUUUUCAUUUUACACCAGUUUUGGGUGUAUAUCUGAGAUUUUCAGUCACAAUUGCUGAAGAUUUGGCAGUUUGAAUUUCUCACUAGGCAUUCCCGGCUGCUCAAAUGAAAAAAGUGUUAACAUUUAUAUAAAUUGUAGUAAAUAAAAUUUAGGCCAAAGGCAUCGAUAGGCACUCAAACUUGUUGCCAAAAUUCACUUAGACACCUAAAUUAAGGCAUGUUCCUAUCAGACCCCUAAACUCCCCACAUUUUAUUCCAAUUGAACCUUUUUUGCCUAUGUAGCACUGCGCGUGCAGUACCAUCGUGAGAGGUGCGUGAGAAGCAUUUUUUUUUACUAAUUUACGAAAAGAUGUCAAAUGGCAUUGAGGGCCCCAAAAUUUUUUUAAUAACAAUUUUUUUUUAAAACACUAAAGGCCCCAAAAAAACUUUUUAAUAAAACAAAAAGCAUUAGAGGGCCCCCAAUUUUUUUUUUAAUAAAACAGAAUUUAAAAGAAAAAAAAAAAGAAGCCUCCCCACAAAAGCCCCCACCCCAUCCGAUACCCCUGGCCUCAUUUUUUUUUUUAUCUCCAUUUCAUCUUCUUCACCAUUCUUCUUCUUCAUUCUUUUUUUUUUUGCUAAACUUAAUUCUCAUACCAUUUUUUCUACUUUUUCUCCUUUCUUGUUCUUACUUUUGAAUUUGAUUUUAAAAAAAUUUGUUGUUAUUCUUAUUCUUUUCCUCCAUUAAAGUGCCGGAAAAAAUGAAAGUUCGCCGGAAAAAAUGAAAGUUUGCUACAUUUGAAUUGUUGAAUUUUCAACAUAUUAUUCAUCGUUUCAUAUCCUCACCCCACUCCGCGUCUUCAUCGUUUCAUAGUACCCCACCCCGCCCCAUUGCUGCUAUUUUGUUGAUAUGAAUAUGGUGGAAACUAAUUGUCAAGCUAAGAAGAAAAUUAAGGUUUUUUCUUAUAAUGUGAAUAUGUUUUUGUUGUCCUGUGUGUUAGUGUGAAGUUUGAGAAAUUAUAAAAUUAUUUCAUGGAGAAGAAGAGGAACGUCGGGGGGAAGAAGAUGAACGCUGGGGGUGGGGGGAAGGGAAGCAGAUGAACAUUGGGGGAGGGGGGGCUGGGGGGAGGUAGGNNNNNNNNNNNNNNNNNNNNNNNNNNNNNNNNNNNNNNNNNNNNNNNNNNNNNNNNNNNNNNNNNNNNNNNNNNNNNNNNNNNNNNNNNNNNNNNNNNNNNNNNNNNNNNNNNNNNNNNNNNNNNNNNNNNNNNNNNNNNNNNNNNNNNNNNNNNNNNNNNNNNNNNNNNNNNNNNNNNNNNNNNNNNNNNAAUUUUUUAAAUAAUUUAUUUCAUUUUUUAAAAUUUUUUAUAAUUUUUUUAAAUAAUCAAUUUUUUAUUUUUAUUUUUAAAUAAUUUUGUAAUUAUUUUUUCAUAAUUUAUAUCCUCAAUGCCAUUUUUUAUUUUCAUUUUUUAAACAAAUUUAUAAUUUUUUUUAAUAAUUAAUUUUUUUAAAAAAAUAAUUUUAUAAUAAUUUAUUUCAUUUUAAAAAUAAAUUAUAAUUUUUUUAAAUAAUCAGUUUUUUAUUUUUAGUUUUAAAAUAAUUUUAGAAUUUUUUUUUAAUAAUUUUCUCAAUGCCAUUUUUAUAUACUUUUUUAAAAAAAAAAUUAUAAUUAUUUUUUAAUAAUUAUUGGACCCACAAUGCCACGUGUCAGCUUUCAAUUAGCUCGUUUUGUCAUGUCAUCGCGUGUGUGCAGCACACACUUUGAGCUUUUUGCUGAUAAGGGAAAAAAGGCCCAAUUGAAACAAAAUGUGGGGGUUUUAGGGGUCUGUUAGGAGCAGACCUUAGUUUAGGUGUCUAAGUGAAUUUUGGCAACAAGUUUGAGUGUCUGUUAGGAGCAGACCUUAGCUAAUAACACACUUACUAGCUACUACAAUUCGUCAAAUUACAGCAGUAUGGCAUUCACCAUUCAGCUGUAGCUAACUGAUUGACAUGAUUAACAGUAAUGUGGCCACAACUAUACGAGCAAAUUCACUUGCACAAAAGAAGAAAAUCAAAUCCUAGAACAAAAAUCAGUAACAAAUCCUAAAACUAAUGCAAAUUUGCAUAAUAAUCAUUAAUACUAACUAAAAAGGUGUUGUCGAGGAGAAGAAGGGCAGCACAGCGUACUAAAGCUCCCACUAUGUACGGGUCUGGGGUUUCAGUAAAAACUACUAAUAACACACUAGCUACUACAAUUCAUCAAAUUACAAUUAUAGUAACAUUACAUUUACUCGUGAUUCCUGCAUCCAACACCAACUAAUUUACAAUUCUAUUGUAGUUAACUGAUUGACACAACUAACACCAAUGCAUCCGCGACUAUACAACCACAAAAUAGAAUUAUCCACAUGUCAAACAAGUACAAAGGUAACAAAUCCUAAACCUGAUGUAAAUUAGCAUAAUAAUCAACUAACAAAUCCUAAACCUCACGUAAAUUAGCAUAAUAAUCAGCUAAAAAAAUCCUAAUCCUGUUGCACAUUAGCGUAACAAUCAACUAAAAAAUCCUAAAUCUAUCGUAAAUUAGCAUAACAAUCAACUAAUAAAUCCUAAAUACCAGAACAAUCAGCUAACAAAUCCUAAACCUGUCAUAAAUUAGCACAAUAAUCAGCUAAUAAAUCCUAAACUUGUCGUCAAUUAGCAUAAUAAUCAGCUAACAAAUCCUGAACUUGUCGUAAAAUAGCAUAACAACCAACUAACAAAUCCUAAACCUGGCAUAAAUCAGCACAAUAAUCAACUAACAAAUCCUAAACCUAUCGUAAAUAAGCAUAAUAAUCAGCUAACAAAUCCUGAACAUGGCAUAAAUCAGCAUAACAAUCAACUAACAAAUCCUAAACCUAUCGUAAAUAAGCAUAAUAAUCAACUAACAAAUCCUAAACCUAUCGUAAAUAAGCAUAAUAAUCAACUAACAAAUCCUAAACCUGUAGUAAAUCAGCACAAUAAUAAGAAACCCUUAAAUAUUACUAACCGGAAAGGCGUUCAUGGGGGUUUUGCAAAGCCUCAUGAAGAAAUUGAUCUACAGUAUCAACAACAUCCUCCGACGAAACACUCCCUGAACCACCACCACCACCAUCACCCUUACCGGUUUCCGAUUGAUCAUCAUUAUUAUUAUCAACAGAUGAAGAAUCAAUAUUAUUCUUGUUCUUCUUCAAAGACGAUGAAAAUAUAAAUCGUCUCGUACUAGCAUCUAAGUCAGCCACUUCCUAUGACUUCGGUGGGGCUCCGAGAUCAUCUGUUACAAGGCCCUCCAUCGAUUCAUUUUUUUUACCAAUUUUAACAAAAAAAAAAAAAAUUUAAAAAGUUAGAGAAUCAUUGAACUAGGAUUAUGGGGAAUUUGGAUAUAGAGAUUUGGAGAAUUUUCAUGGAGAUUGAGGGAAUCUAAAAGUGGGGAAAUUGUUCUAGUAUUUCGAGAGAAUGUGUGAAGGGGGUAUAAAGUAUUAUAUAAUUUUUGUGAAUCUUCAAUUGGGUUUUUGCUCUCAUCAGAUGAAUUUUGGUUUGGAUGGAUGUUUUAAUAGAGCUAGGGUAAAAUAUGAGAGUUGGGUCGGGUCAGGUUAGAUGGGUUAAAAGAGUAAUAGGGUCGGGUUAAGUUUUUAAUAAAAUAGGAAAAUUAAUUAGACACGUGGCAACACAAGAGGGCGAGUGGAGUGCACUCCACUCAUUAAACUUGGGCAUGGGUGUCGCGAGGAGAUAAUAAUAUCACUUUUAUAUAGUUUAGGUGUGUAAUAGGUCACUUAAAUAGUUUAGAUAUGGCUUAGACUUUUCUUGUAUAGUUUGGGGUGGAAAUGAUAUCUUUUUCCCGUAGACAAAUUGAGACUCUUAACUUAGUACUCCCUCGUUAAAUAAAGAAUGACCUACUUUGACUUGGUACAAAGUUUAAGAAAAUAAAAAAGAUUUUUGAAUUUUGUGGUCUUAAAUUAAAAUUGUAUUAAAUGUAUCAAAAUGCCCAAUAAUUUUAUGAUCCUAAACAUGUUAUGUGGAAACUUGAAAUUAAAGUAUUGUCAAAGAGGGAAAGAAGACAUUCUUUUUUAAACGGAUUAAAAGAAAAAAUAGGUCAUUCUUCUAAACAUCUUACACAGACAUUUUUCAGUUAAACACUUUUUACCCCUAGAGCGUAUAGCAUAUUUUUUUAAUUGUAUUGAUAGGAAGAAUUGGUUGAAUGAUAAACAUCUCUCACUUUCGAUCUUAAUACGUAGAUUUCAAUCAGGAUCAGAAAAGGCGAAAGCUUGAAACAACACGUGACAGUAUUUGCAAAUUAGCAAUUGAGGAGGGCCCUACCACCAAAAAGAAAUCCACAUCUUAAUGGCAAAUGGGGAAGAACAAUCUGAAAGCGAUGCCUUUUGGAGGACAACCAGAUCAAAAAGACAUCUUAGCUUUUUUUGGGGGGGGGGGUCAUGGUCAUUUAACUUGUCAAUUGCGAUAGAAGUGUCAAAUUGAGUUAUCUAAGCACUAUCUCUUGCUGUAUUCGAGUCAACUUCAUAAAAAAUUACAACUAUUUCAUUAGACAAAUUAUUAUCUAGUUAAAAACUUCAUAAUCCAAAUUACUUGCCCAUAGCCAUAACCAACCUAUGAUAUUAAAAUACCCAAGCCACGGUUAAAAACUACAAACCCCUUAGAAAGUAUGCAGGAUUGGAAUAUAAUAGGGGUGGUAAGAUUAAUAUUAUAUAAGCCGACAGUAUAAAUACACAUUACAACUGAAUUUACAAUAUCCAGCUUUACUACCAUACUAUCAAAAGUUACCUUUGUUCGUACUUAUACGUUGUACGUCAACUUAACGUAACCCGAUGGUAGUAAAACUCUGUAUAUACUAUAUACUAUCAUUAUACGAAAUUGAACUCUUUUUUUUACCCCUCCCUAAAAACUCACACAAUUUCUGCUCCCUUAAUGACUCAAGCGCAUGACUUACGAAUUAAAGAGGGAAGAUGCUACCACAAGAGCUAUCUCGCCAUAGAACCGAACUCAAUAAUUAAGCGGAUAAAAGGUUUUUAGUUGACCUUGCUUUUCACUCUAAGUGGUGAAUAGACAUUUCAGAAAUACUAGCGGCUACUUGCCUGUCCUAGUCCGAAGUGGUGCCUCUCUUGAGUGGGUUGGAGAAUUGAAACAUGUACUCAACAAUGCUAAUGAUUCAUAGCCCGACAGCCAUAUAAAAAGAGAUUGCGUGCAUGGAUCUCAAGAACGUGCUAUAUAUUAUAUAAAAUUGAGUGAAAAGCAUGGGGCUACCACUCAUGGUCAAGGCCAUUUUUAAAAGCAUUAUCGUCCACCCUUAUGAAAGGGAAUCAACAAACACCCCUAGUGUUGAAAUAAAUAUUUCGUUUUCUAUAGAAAUCUUCAUUUAACACCUAAUAUUCAUAAUUAUUGACCUUUGAAAUCUAAUCAAAACUAGUUUUCAAAAACCAACCUAGGCACUACUUAAAAUAUUCUCCUAUUUCGUCGUUUCCUUAAAUAUUUCAUUACCUACUACCCCACUAAGCAUCAUCAGCUGCAACCACACAUAUGUUCUGACAUAACAGGUUAUCAACUUAAAACAUAAACAAUAAUCUCAGGUCCCAGCCCCCCAAAAAAUUAGUUCUUCAACUAGCUCCUUACUCUACCGCAUGUAGGUGCUAACUGAAUGCAGCUUCUUCAAGCAAUUGUUUAAGAGGUCAGAAAUGUUCUUGAUUCUGGUUAAUUGCCUUCUCUUCUUUCCCAAUAUUUUUGCAGUCUUUUCAGCCUCAUUGCCUCAAGAUUCUGUUCAUCUUCUUGGGUUUCGAAGUGUUCUUCCAGAGCCCUCUCAAAAAUUGCUUCCUUGGAAUCAGUCUGUCUCACACUGCCAAUGGAAAGGUGUUGCCUGCUAUUCAGACGCAACUUCUCAUGUCGAAUCAUUGAAUUUCAGAGACUUCCUUCUAUCUGGAAUCUUGGACAAGGCCUUUCAUAAUCUUUGUCAUCUUACUCGCUUGAUCUCCCUUGAUCUCAGUGGCAACCAUUUCACUGGUGGUAUCCCCACUAUGCUCGCAAACUGCAGCCAAGUUGACACGAUUCGCCUCAACGACAACAGGUUUUCAGGAUCCAUCCCACCACAGAUUUUCAAAUCAAGUAAGCUUUUAUACCUUGAUUUGGGUGACAAUCGCCUCAAUGGAACCAUUCCUUCUGAGGUAGGACUGUCGACAAGCCUUCAAUAUCUUGGGCUGUGGAACACUUUCCUUAGUGGAAAUGUUCCAAAAGAGCUAUUUGAUUUGCCAAACUUAACACAACUUUACAUCCACACAAACAAUCUAACAGGACCUCUCCCCGACUUCACAUCCUUGUGCUCACUUUCCCAGCUUCUUAUUCAUCAGAAUCGCUUCUCGGGUUCUUUGCCAAUUUCUAUAGGUAAUUGUCACAACCUUACUGCAUUCUAUGCAACAUCUGCUAAUCUUGGAGGAGUUAUUUCCCCAGAGGUUUUUAGGGGCCUUUCUAAUCUUGAAUUUCUCUAUUUAGAUGAUAACAAGUUUGAAGGAGAAAUUCCUGAGACCUUAUGGAUAGGGAGCUUACAAGAGUUAGCUCUUUCCUUGAAUAUGUUUAAUGGUAGUAUAUCCGAAAAGAUUGGAGGUUGUCACGAGAUAAAUUACAUAGAUUUGUCAGUUAACAAAUUAAGUGGUCAGAUUCCCAAGUCAGUUGGACGUCUGAAGAAUUUGAAAAACAUUCUUCUGUAUAAUAAUAUGCUUAGUGGUACAUUACCAGCAGAAUUUGGAAACUGCACUUCUCUUGUUGAGAUAAGUCUUGUCAGUAACUUCAUCAGCGGGGAAAUCCCUUCAGAACUUUGCAACCUCCGAAACCUAGCAAAAUUAAAUGCAUUCGAAAAUAAAAUUCACGGUCAAAUUCCAGAAUGCAUUGGAAAAAUAAGCGAACUGCAGGAACUAGCUCUUUAUGAUAACCAAUUGACCAGCGAGAUACCACCUGGAAUUACAAAUAUGACGAAACUUGCGUAUCUUUCUUUGGCUCAUAAUAACCUUACAGGGGAGGUGCCACCUGAUCUCGGAAAAAAUAAUUUUCC